GAUGAACGCUGGCGGCGUGCCUAAUACAUGCAAGUCGAGCGAACGGACGAGAAGCUUGCUUUUCUGAUGUUAGCGGCGGACGGGUGAGAAACACGUGGAUAACCUACUUAUAAGACUGGGAUAAUUUCGGGAAACCGGAGCUAAUACCGGAGAAUAUUUUGAACCGCAUGGUUCAAAAGUGAAAGACGGUGUUGCUGUAACUUAUAGAUGGAUCCGCGCUGCAUUAGCUAGUUGGUAAGGUAACGGCCUAUGAAGGCAACGAGGCAUAGCCGACCUGAUAGGGUGAUCGGCCACACGGGAACUGAGACACCGUCCAGACUCCUACGAGAGGCAGCAGUAGGGAAUCUUCCGCAGUGGGCGAAAGCCUGACGGAGCGGCGCCGCGUGAGUGAUGAAGGUCUUCGGAUCGUAAUACUCUGUUAUUAGUGAAGAACAUAUGUGUAAUUAACUGUGCACAUCUUGACGGUACCUAAUCAGAAAGCCCCGGCUAACUACGUG
rnacentral:rRNA from 1 species